rnacentral:rRNA from 1 species
UACGUAGGGGUCCGAGCGUGUCCGGAAUUAUUGGGCGUAAAGGGCUCGUAGGCGGUUUGUCACGUCGGGAGUGAAAACUCAGGGCUUAACCCUGAGCGUGCUUCCGAUACGGGCUGACUAGAGGGAUGCAGGGGAGAACGGAAUUCCUGGUGUAGCGGUGGAAUGCGCAGAUAUCAGGAGGAACACCGGUGGCGAAGGCGGUUCUCUGGGCAUUUCCUGACGUGAGGAGCGAAAGCAUGGGGAGCGAACAGG